GACGAACGCUGGCGGCGUGCCUAAUACAUGCAAGUAGAACGCACAGUUUAUACCGUAGCUUGCUACACCAUAAACUGUGAGUUGCGAACGGGUGAGUAACGCGUAGGUAACCUGCCUGGUAGCGGGGGAUAACUAUUGGAAACGAUAGCUAAUACCGCAUAAUAUUAAUUAUUGCAUGAUAAUUGAUUGAAAGAUGCAAUUGCAUCACUACCAGAUGGACCUGCGUUGUAUUAGCUAGUAGGUGAGGUAACGGCGCACCUAGGCGACGAUACAUAGCCGACCUGGGAGGGUGAUCGGCCACACUGCGACUGAGACACGGCCCAGACUCCUACGGGAGGCAGCAGUAGGGAAUCUUCGGCAAUGGACGAAAGUCUGACCGAGCAACGCCGCGUGAGUGAAGAAGGUUUUCGGAUCGUAAAGCUCUGUUGUAAGAGAAGAACGGGUGUGAGAGUGGAAAGUUCACACUGUGACGGUAUCUUACCAGAAAGGGACGGCUAACUACGUG
rnacentral:rRNA from 1 species